AUUGAACGCUGGCGGCAGGCUUAACACAUGCAAGUCGAACGAGUGGCGGACGGGUGAGUAAUGUUUGGGAAUCUAGCUGAUGGAGGGGGAUAACUACGGGAAACUGUAGCUAAUACCGCGUACCAUAGGAUGAGCCCAAGUUGGAUUAGGUAGUGGGUGAGGUAAAGGCUCACCAAGCCGACGAUCCCUAGCUGGUCUGAGAGGAUGACCAGCCACACUGGGACUGAGACAGGGCCCAGACUCCUACGGGAGGCAGCAGUGGGGAAGAUUGCGCAAUGGGGGCAACCUGACGCAGCCAGGCCGCGUGAAUGAAGAAGGCCUUCGGGUUGGAAAGUUCUUUCGGUAGCGAGGCGUUAACUACAGAAGAAGCACCGGCUAACUCCGUGCCAGCAGCCGCGGUAAUAC
rnacentral:rRNA from 1 species